AUUGAACGCUGGCGGCAGGCCUAACACAUGCAAGUCGAGCGAGCGGCGGACGGGUGAGUAAUGCCUGGGGAUCUGCCCGAUAGACGGGGAUCACUAUUGGAAACGGUGGCUAAUACCGCAUACCACCGGUUGAACCCAUAUGGGAUUCGCUAGUAGGUGGGGUAAAGGUGCACAUAGGCGACGAUCUCUAGCUGGUCUGAGAGGAUGAUCAGCCACACGGGAACAGGAACACGGCCCAGACUACUACGGGAGGCAGCGAUGGGGAGGAGUGCACAAUGGUGGCAAGCCUGAUGCAGCCAUGCCGCGUGUGUGAAGAAGGCCUUAGGGUGGUAAAGUACUUUCAGCGGGGAAGCGUUGCCCGCAGAAGAAGCGCCGGCUGACUCCGUGCCAACAGCCGCGGUAAUUC
rnacentral:rRNA from 1 species